UACGGAGGGUGCAAGCGUUAUCCGGAUUUACUGGGUUUAAAGGGCGCGUAGGCGGCCUGGCAAGUGGAUGGUGAAAUCCCUCGGCUUAACCGAGGAACUGCCAUCCAGACUGCUUGGCUUGAGACCGAGAGAGGUGAGUGGAAUUCCCAGUGUAGCGGUGAAAUGCGUAGAUAUUGGGAGGAACACCAGUGGCGAAGGCGGCUCACUGGACCGGUACUGACGCUGAGGCGCGAAAGCGUGGGGAGCAAACGGG
rnacentral:rRNA from 1 species